rnacentral:rRNA from 1 species
CGGUCCAGACUCCUACGGGAGGCAGCAGUAGGGAAUCUUCCGCAAUGGGCGAAAGCCUGACGGAGCAACGUCGCGUGAGUGAUGAAGGUCUUCGGAUCGUAAAACUCUGUUAUUAGGAAGAACAUAUGUGUAAGUAACUGUGCACCAUCUGACGGUACCUAAUCAAAAGCCACGGCUAACUACGUGCCAGCAGCCGCGGUAA